AAGGAGGAUGCAAUUCUGCCCGUGAAUGCAUUCUCUCUAAAUGUUGGCUUCAUCCCUCCUUUGGUAGAGAAUAUCAACGGAUUUGCUAAUAAUCCCUGUGUGUCACCCCUUCUCCAACCCCCACCACCAUCUUUGGCGACGCUCCGGGAGGCGACAGGGACCUGGCGACUCCAUAGAUCCAGCGCUUCUAGGGCAAGGCAGAGGUGGGAGACAGCCCGGGUCUUCAGGUCAGUGAAGUGAUGCCUCAGUCUGAUAGUGUCUGAAGAAUUGCUGGGGCCAUUGUGGCAACUGAGGGCAAAGAAGUGAGAACAGAAGCAAGAAAAAGUGUUGCACAAACUCUUGGAAUUGUUACUGUUGAAAGGCUGCAUUUCGCUUCUGAUUUCCUCAUCUUUUGCUACAAAGAAAAAAGAAAUCCAAUGAUGUGUCUGCAUUUGAUGAGAAGAAAACACUAACAACAGCAGUGUAGGUGUGUUUGUUUGUUUUCCUCCUUUCCGGGAAAAAUAUUUUUAAUAUUCACCAAUUAGCGAGUUGA
rnacentral:lncRNA from 13 species